AUUGGAAGUGAACAAGAUUUUUGCAGAGAUUUUCCCUGGUCAAGAGUGCAACAUGAGUCGUGGAUAUGAACUUUACUGUCAGAUGUACAUUGAUUGGAAAGUGAACAAGAUAUCUGCACUGAGAAUGAAUGAAGUUGAAGAAAGUUGAAAGGCACCCCUGAAGAACCUGAAUUAUUUUAGCCCUAUCCUAGAUUCAUUAAUUAAUAUAUUUUAGUGUGUGAUAACAUGUGUGAAAUGUGUUCAAUUAUGUGACAAUUUUCAAAAC